rnacentral:rRNA from 1 species
AGCAGCCGCGGUAAUUCCAGCUCCAAUAGCGUAUAUUAAAGUUGUUGCAGUUAAAAAGCUCGUAGUUGAACUUCGGGGUUUACUCAUUGGUCAGGCUUAAUUGUCUGUACUGGUGAGAUAAAUCUCUACCUUCUGAGGAACUUUCAUGCCAUUUAUUUGGUGUGAUUGGAAAUCAAGACUGUUACUUUGAAAAAAUUAGAGUGUUUAAAGCAGGCUAACGUCUGAAUACAUUAGCAUGGAAUAAUGAAAUAGGACGGAUUGAUUCUAUUUCGUUGGUUUCUAGGGUCACCGUAAUGAUUAAUAGGGAUAGUUGGGGGCAUUAGUAUUCAAUUGUCAGAGGUGAAAUUCUUGGAUUUAUUGAAGACUAACUACUGCGAAAGCAUUUGCCAAGGAUGUUUUCAUUAAUCAAGAACGAAAGUUAGGGGAUCGAACACGAUCAGAUACCGUCGUAGUCUUAACCAUAAACUAUGCCGACUAGGGAUCGGACGCAGUUAAUUUUAUAAUGACGUG